UGAUCAAUGGAAACAGGAUGUCUGAAUACUUUGUUUUUUGCUUUGUCAUUAAUGAGGUAUUAUGUGUAGAUUGAUGGGGAUUUUUUUGUUGUUUUAAUCCAUUAUAGAAUAAGGCUGUAACGUAACAAAAUAUGGAUAAAGUCACUGGGUCUGAAUACAUUCCGAAGGCACUGUGAAUGCUUUUUUGAUGUUGAUAACUGAUGUAUUGAAAGAGUUGACAUAGCAGCUUCCUACUCUGUCAUAGGAUACCUUUUUAUUGUAUCGAUACUAUAAAUCAUUGUAGUAGAUUUAUUUAAUUCAGAUUAUUGAGUGGUAGAAAAUGUCCUUUGUGCGAUUUUUGUUAGACUCAUUGAUUGAUUGAUUUAAUGAACACCAGUGCCCAAAAAUAGACAACUUCACUGUGAUGCAAUAAAUAAGGAGACACUCAGAAAGUAUUCAGACCCCAUGACUUUUCCCACCAUUUCUUUUUACAACCCAGUCUAAAAUUUAUGAAAUGAUUUUCCUCUUCAAUCUACACACAAUACCCCAUAAUGACAAAGUGACAAAGGUUGUUUUCAAAUGUAAAAUUCAAAUGUAUUAAAAAUAAAAACAGAAAUACCUUUAUUUACAUGGCAAAAUGGGAUUAACAUUAAUUUGAUCUAAUAUUAAUAAAAAGGAAAGUAAUAUCUCAUCUCGCGUUUUAUGAUAUCUUACAGUAUUAGAGGUGUAAUUAAUGAGGUACGUUAAAGAGGUGUUGUAAUUAAUGAGGUACGUUAAAGAGGUGUUGUAAUUAAUGAGGUACGUUAAAGAGGUGUUGUAAUUAAUGAGGUACGUUAAAGAGGUGUUGUAAUUAAUGAGGUACGUUAAAGAGGUGUUGUAAUUAAUGAGGUACGUUAAAGAGGUGUUGUAAUUAGUUAUGUACAUUAAAAGGAGAAUCUGG